UAUUAUUGCUUAGAAUCAGAGGAGGGGUUAUGGAUUGAUACAAAUAGUCACCCCCGCCAAGCCAACCCCAGCGCAGGCUGAAUUAAUGUGUUGCUAUUUUUGGGAGCCCCGUGUUUCCAGGGGAGACCUAAUGACGCAAUGACGUCAAUGCGGGUCAAUCGCAGACUGGAGGAAUUGAGUGGCUUCCAUUUGGGUCUUUUGCAGUAUUUCCUACAGAAAGGAUGGAAACGAGUACAAAAUGGAAGUAUAUUGCCUCCAAAAUGCAUCGAAAACAGAGGUGAAUCAAAAUGCUGAAGUGAAAAUGAUCAGACCGGCAUCACGUCGCCCCAACCCUUCGAGCAUCAGCGGUAGUAAGGGAGGGGCUUUACACAACCUGACCUAUUCCGAGCCCUCGCAUCCAGACGCACAGAGGUGCAGCGGGUGAUGGUGGUCGUGCGCUCAGCUCUGCAGCCUUGUUCCUUUCAGACCUUUUUGCGGUCUGGGCUUGCUGUUCAGUCUAUCCAGGAAGCCCUUACCCCAAAAAGCAUCUGCAAGGGACCCUCACGUCUCAGAAAUCACUCCCAGGGCCUGACAGCAGCAGAGUAACGUGACUCUGGGUGAAAGAUGUAACUUUGUAGUAGAAAACACAGGCGCUGUUAAUUAGGAAAAGGUUUUAUCUGCUCUGGUUCCACUAGUUUCCCUUCCGCUCACCUCUUGCUGGGCUGCUCCACCAAUAACAAAGAAGAAGCUGGGAAGUACAAAAACUUUCCAACAAAUAUCUUUUAUUUUAAACUUUCACUAGCGUCCAUCAUGUUCUUCAGCCCUGAGCUGCUGCACCGCAUCUUCGGCGCCGUGUGAUUUCCCCACAAGAUGGCAGCAUUGCUUAAAUUUAUUUUAUUUAUUAUUAUUUUGACUGAGGAAAUUGUGUGUAAUAUACAUAUUGUAUAAACUACAAAAUUAUCUUACCUUAGAAAAGACAUAAUUGCAAGUAGACAAUUCUGGAUGUUUGCGGCACGUGCGUCAACGUGAAAAGAAGGAAGGGGGAAAUGGAGCGCAGCAAAGCUAGGGGUUCUUCUCGUGGUGGGGGUGGUGAGAUUCAGUGGGGACUGGAAGAAACAAUACAGAUGUGUCCUGUGCAGGAAAUAUAUAAUACAUGAGCAGUCAAAGUCUGUCUCCUCUAUCUGCAGUUACACCAGGUUAUGUUCAUAAGAUGAUGAGAUGAUGUGUGUGUUAAUGUGUAGUUGGACCAUACAUACACUAUACAGUACAUACAGAAGGAGCUGAAUCGCUUUAGGUUUCUGUUUAGUAGCAGAUCUGUUCAGUGUUUUCCAGUCUGAAAACACCCCUCGUUUAAUUGUUAUGAAAAGUGAUUUUUUUUAGCUCAGAUGAUGACGAAAUAAACAGCCUUUAAAGAAA